rnacentral:siRNA from 1 species
AUUGAUAUACAUAGCAUGAUUGGU